GCAGAGGGAGAGUGAGAGAGGUUUUUGAGAGAUGACUAAGGAAGCUGAAUGGCUCCUAAGGAUAGAGCUACUUAUGAGUCUGCCAAAGGUCAUGGCCUCGCCUUCAUCCUGCAUCCACAGUUCCUACCAUGGAGCCCCCCUCCAGCGACUACUCGUAUAAUUAGAUCUGCAAGUGCCUCAAUGGUCAUUAAGCAGACAAACUCCAACAGCCAGACGGCCACGCCCUCCACCCCUGGGUCCAGUCAUCUACUCCAGCCUAGAAGACAAGGACUAAGGAGAAGCAGCCCAGCCAGACCUGACAGACAGGAUGUCUUCACUGGUGGGAAUACUCUACUUCUCCCUUCAGGACGCACUGUGCCUGGAGGAACCUGGCCGAGGAACACUGGACCCAUCUAUGGGCCUGUCCAAGAUUCUGAAGACAUUUUCUCCAGAAAUGUGAAAAUAUAAAGAAACUGCAAAACAAUGGCUGCACUGAAAGGUAAUAACUUCGUCCUCCAUUCUUAGAGAAAAAGGGGAAAACACAGAGAAUUACAGUAAAAAUCAACACUGGAUUCCUUCUAAUUCCCUUAGGUUUGAAGAAUGCAGGGAAGACAUUUCCUGUGAUGGUAAUUAUAUACCUGAGAUUUUUCAAGUGAUUGUGGAUUGAAGUUAAUUACCAUGGAAAUAAUAUUGUUGACAGUAGAUGAACUGUAUACAUGACUGUAGAAGAGGUUAUGGCACAAGAAGUUUUCUACAUUUUGGUUAUCUUUGAUUAAAACAAAGAGGCUUAUUUUUCCAUAUAUUAUCUCACACAUUGGUUGUUCUGACCUUUGAAAAUUCAUUUCAGUGAAACAGAUGGCUGCAUCUUAAUAAAAGUACAUGUCCGUAAUUGACAUUUUCAAGGACGUUUCUUUGUCCAUCCUUCCCAAAUUCUGCUCAUCUGAGAUGUCUCAAUAUUUGGAGGUAAUUUUUUCUUAUGAUUGUAUUUUUUAAAGGCAAUGCUUUUGAAGAAACGAUAUUUUCAACACAUCCCACUUUCUGAAUUUAGUCUGCUGCCUAAAAAUGCUAUCAGAAUGAGGUAUCACUGUGGUAGGCUCCCCUUAUCUGCCACCCUGCCCCUCCUUCAGGGGAGAGAGCACCUCUGAAGACCGCGGGAGAUGGGAGUGUCUGGCUGAGGAGCACAAGAGCAGAAAUGCUGGGAAAGGAGAAGGGCGACUCCUGCGAGGAGCUUGGGGAGGCUCCGUCUGAAUGCUGGAAGAAACAGUUCCCAGCCUAAGACCCUCCCUCUGUGGCGAGAAGCGGCUGUGCCCCAGCCUGGGACGGUGGCUUGGGUCCUGCUCUGUCCACACCCACCUCCCCAAAAGGCCACGGCCCCGGAGGGACCAUGGCCAGGCAGGCACGCACACCACGAAGGCGGAGAUGCCCUCUGUGCUGAGCGGGGCCUCUAACCGUGCCAGGAGGAAGCGCUGAGCCAGGGUGGGUGCCUCUCUCUCCUACAGUGUUCUGAGAAGAGCUGGGUGGGGUGAGGGGCAGGUGGGGCAGGUGAGGAGGGCCAAGCUCCUGGUUCCUGCUGCUGCUGCACAUACCCUGCUGGGGGUCUCCCCAAGUGUGGUGAAGCAGCUGGGAAAACACCUUUCCUAUUACGGCGGGAUUCCACCUUCGGUCUUUGCCUAUGGGCAUCGUUACACAGGUCCCAAGGAGGAAUGAAUCAUGUUAAUUUCAUUUGCAGGGGGACCUUUUUUAUAUAUAACAGGUGAAUCUCUGAGAAAAAAAAAAGAUGAAUGGAAAUUUGGUUUGAGAACAGCAAAUCCUAUCUUAAAAUUCUGCAGGAUUCCUCUGUGUGUGGGUAGGUGAAGAGGAAGGAAGGAAAGCAAAACCAGGUGAAAUGAAAUGUUUGGGUCCUAGACAUGGUCACCCCUGGCAGUCUAGCAAAAUCUUGCGGCUCCUACCUAUUGGUAAACAGUUACCGUUCGUGCAAUAUUUCCUGCUGAGGCUGGAAAGGCAGCGCAAAAUCCGAUUCCACAGGACCUUGUUCACUAGGAGGGGAUUUUGGACUUUAUCCAAGACCAAUGAGAAGUAACUGAAGUUUUUUUUCUUUUUCCUUUUUUUUUUUCCAGUAAGGGAGCUCAAUAAAGAUUUGUGGAAUGCGUGAAUAAGAGACUACUGGACCAGAAUAGAGGAUCAAUGGCUUUUUCUGGCUCCAAACUGGCUGCCAGGAACUAUAUUCUCAUUAAUUUUAGCUUUUUGGUUAGUUAAGGGCAAGGGGGAUUUUAGUUAAGAAAUACUUCUGCCAGUAGAAGUGAUUUCUGGUUAAAACAACAUCACACCUAGGGAUCAAAUGUGGGGGAGAGGUGAUUACAGAGCAAAGAUAUUUGCAUUUAUUCUCAAAAUGUAGAUGGGCAGAAAGAAAUGUAUGAAGGCAUUAAUUAGAUGAGUAAUUAUGCUAUAGAGUAAUAUUCAUAAUCAAAACUAAUUGGCCACAUAGGUAACUUUGCAUAAACUAGGCCAAAGGGUGGUAUUAAACCCACUCAAAAACUAUUCCAGGAACAAAAGCAUAAAUAUAAGGUUGUAUAGAUGCAUUAAUGACAUUUAAUGAGGCUAGCAGCCAUCCAUUAAAUAUAUCUGAGAACGGAUACAGGGAACUAAUUGACCAUGGAUGAACACUAAUUGGCAUAUUACUAGUAUUAAUACAUAAAAUAUCCAUAAUAAUUAUAGAGAGAACAGUUAGAUAAGCAGAUUGAAUUCACACUUAGAUCCAAACAGCUGUUUGAAACGUACACCUGACAUGUCCCGAUGCCUCAUGAAGCUCUUUGACGGCGCACACAGACUCCCAGAGGUAUCUUCCUCAUGCCGAGGUGGCGCUGUUCCCUGUAUUUGAUGUUUAAGUGGGAAUGAUUUUUCUUUUUUUCUUGGGAAUGGUUUUUCUUACUCUCCUAAACUAAGAGCUAUCUUCAAGUCACUCUUCCAGUAAAAUCAAUAAGACCAGCUAGUUCUAGUUACCAGUGCAUCUCAAAACCAGUCCACCUCUCUCCAUCUAUCACUAUCGUGAUCCAGUUUUCCUCCUUCCCUCCCUCCUUCCUUUUUUUUUCUUUUUCCAUUCUUCCUAUUUGAUUUUUCUUUUUUUCUAUUUUUUAUUUUUUUGGUGAUCCAGUUAAAAGGUAUAUCUGAACACUCUGGAUGAAAGAUAUGCUUUAUUAAUAUGUAUUAAUAGAAAAUGAAAAAAAAAAAAAAAAGGUAGAUCUGAAGUCUACCUAAAACACCAGAGUGGCUUUCCACUGCCUAGGACCACAUCCUGGCAACCUGAGCUGACACCCAAGACUCUGGGAUCAGCGUCUUCCCCCCCUCCAUCUUCUCCCACUGUAUCUCCAUCAGCAACACCGAAGUGCUGGUAGUUUCUUAUACUUAACACCAAUUCCAGGGGUUCUUUGCAUCUGUCCCCUCUCCUCCUGCCUCCUUUCACCAGCCGCUCUCUACUACACCUUUACAAUUCAGAUCAGCCAAGAUGCUUCUCUAACUCCCCAGGCCCCUUUCAGGGAAGGUUACGUAGUCCCUUCUAUCUACUUCCAUAAUGCCCCAUUCGUUCUUUAUCAGUACACUGCCACCACAUUGUAAAAUUUUCAGUGAGUGUAUUAGUUUAUGCCACUGAAGUACAAGCUCCGUUUAGGCCGAGAUCAUGCUCUGUUUAUUUUUGUAUUGCCAGCAAAGAACAAUGGGCCUUGCAAAUGGCAUGUGCCCAAAAAAUGUUUGCUGAAGGAAAGAACAAUCUAACAAAUCUUACCAUACUGAAAGAUAGUGGGAAGCGGAUGUGGCUCAAGCGAUUCGGCUCCCAUCUACCAUAUGGGAGGUUCAGGGUUUGAUAACCAGGGCCUCCUGGUGCAGUCAAGUUGACCCAUGUGGCGAGCUGGCCCAAGCGGAGAGGUAGCCUGCGCAGAGUGCUGCCACACGCAGGAGUGCUGGCCCACCCUGAGAACUGGCACAGCAAGACGGCACAACAAAAAGAGACACAGGAGAGACAGUAAGAGACACAGCAGACCAGGGUGCUGAGGUGGCACAAGAGAAUAAGCACCUCUCUUCUACUCUGGAAGGUCCCAGGAUCAGUUCCCAG
ensembl:lincRNA